rnacentral:rRNA from 1 species
UACGUAGGGUGCGAGCGUUAAUCGGAAUUACUGGGCGUAAAGCGUGCGCAGCGGUUUUGUAAGCCAGAUGUGAAAUCCCCGGGCUUAACCUGGGAAUGGCAUUUGGGACUGCAAGGCUAGAGUGCGGCAGAGGAGACUGGAAUUCCUGGUGUAGCGGUGAAAUGCGCAGAUAUCAGGAGGAACACCAGUGGCGAAGGCGACUUCCUGGCCUGUUCUUGACGCUGAGGCGCGAAAGCUAGGGGAGCAAACGGG